rnacentral:lncRNA from 1 species
UCAGCAUAUCAAUCAUGCUUGCUAUCGGUGCAGAAGCACCCAACAUCUUAUAAAAGAAUGCCUCUAAUGACCGAUAGACAUGGCCAGGCCUGUAGCUCAAGGUCAUGUCUACCACCUAGAUGAACCUAGUGCUCUCCCCACUCUUGUUCUCAUCUAGGGUAUGUUUUCUAUCCAUGAUACUUCUGCUAGAGCUUUAAUCGAUAUAGGUUCUACUCACUCUUUUAUUUC